UUAAGUUAGUAAGGGCGCACGGUGGAUGCCUUGGCACUAGGAGCCGAAGAAGGACGUGACAAACGACGAAAUGCCUUGGGGAGCUGUAAGUAAGCGUAGAUCCAGGGAUGUCCGAAUGGGGGAACCCAACAGGUAGAUGCCUGUUACCCGUAUCUGUUAAGGAUAUGAGGAGGAAGACGCAGUGAACUGAAACAUCUAAGUAGCUGCAGGAAGAGAAAGCAAAAGCGAUUGCCUUAGUAGCGGCGAGCGAAAUGGCAGGAGGGCAAACCGAAGAGUUUACUCUUCGGGGUUGUAGGACUGCAAUGUGGACUCAAAGAUUAUAGAAGAAUGAUUUGGGAAGAUCAGCCAAAGAGAGUAAGAGCCUCGUAUUUAAAAUAGUCUUUGUACCUAGCAGUAUCCUGAGUACGGCGGGACACGAGAAAUCCCGUCGGAAUCUGGGAGGACCAUCUCCCAACCCUAAAUACUCCCUAGUGACCGAUAGUGAACCAGUACCGUGAGGGAAAGGUGAAAAGCACCCCGGGAGGGGAGUGAAAUAGAACCUGAAACCGUGUGCCUACAACAAGUUCGAGCCCGUUAAUGGGUGAGAGCGUGCCUUUUGUAGAAUGAACCGGCGAGUUACGUUAUGAUGCGAGGUUAAGUUGAAGAGACGGAGCCGUAGGGAAACCGAGUCUGAAUAGGGCGACUUAGUAUCAUGAUGUAGACCCGAAACCAUGUGACCUACCCAUGAGCAGGUUGAAGGUGCGGUAAAACGCACUGGAGGACCGAACCAGGGCACGUUGAAAAGUGCUUGGAUGACUUGUGGGUAGCGGAGAAAUUCCAAACGAACUUGGAGAUAGCUGGUUCUCUCCGAAAUAGCUUUAGGGCUAGCGUCGACAUAAAGAUUCUUGGAGGUAGAGCACUGUUUGGGUGAGGGGUCCAUCCCGGAUUACCAAUCUCAGAUAAACUCCGAAUGCCAAAGAAUUAUGGUCGGCAGUCAGACUGCGAGUGCUAAGAUCCGUAGUCGAAAGGGAAACAGCCCAGACCACCAGCUAAGGUCCCAAAAUAAUUGUUAAGUGGAAAAGGAUGUGGGGUUGCACAGACAACUAGGAUGUUAGCUUAGAAGCAGCUAUUCAUUCAAAGAGUGCGUAAUAGCUCACUAGUCGAGUGACCCUGCGCCGAAAAUGUACCGGGGCUAAAACAAUUUACCGAAGCUGUGGAUACCUUUAUAGGUAUGGUAGGAGAGCGUUCUAUGUGUGGAGAAGGUGUACCGUGAGGAGCGCUGGAACGCAUAGAAGUGAGAAUGCCGGUAUGAGUAGCGAAAGACAGGUGAGAAUCCUGUCCACCGUAAGACUAAGGUUUCCAGGGGAAGGCUCGUCCGCCCUGGGUUAGUCGGGACCUAAGGAGAGACCGAAAGGUGUAUCCGAUGGACAACAGGUUGAUAUUCCUGUACUAGAGUAUGUAGUGAUGGAGGGACGCAGUAGGCUAACUAAAGCAGACGAAUGGAAGUGUCUGUCUAAGCAGUGAGGUGUGAAUUGAGUCAAAUGCUUAAUUCUAUAACAUUGAGCUGUGAUGGGGAGCGAAGUUUAGUAGCGAAGUUAGUGACGUCACACUGCCAAGAAAAGCUUCUAGCGUUAAACAUACUCUACCCGUACCGCAAACCGACACAGGUAGUCGAGGCGAGUAGCCUCAGGUGAUCGAGAGAACUCUCGUUAAGGAACUCGGCAAAAUGACCCCGUAACUUCGGGAGAAGGGGUGCUGGCUUAAAGUCAGCCGCAGUGAAUAGGCCCAAGCAACUGUUUAUCAAAAACACAGCUCUCUGCUAAAUCGUAAGAUGAUGUAUAGGGGGUGACGCCUGCCCGGUGCUGGAAGGUUAAGAGGAGUGCUUAGACGUAAGUCGAAGGUAUGAAUUGAAGCCCCAGUAAACGGCGGCCGUAACUAUAACGGUCCUAAGGUAGCGAAAUUCCUUGUCGGGUAAG
rnacentral:rRNA from 1 species